rnacentral:rRNA from 1 species
AUUGAACGCUGGCGGAAUGCUUUACACAUGCAAGUCGAGCGGCAGCGCGGCCUUCGGGCUGGCGGCGAGCGGCGAACGGGUGAGUAAUGCAUCGGAACAUGCCCAGUCGUGGGGGAUAACACUUCGAAAGAAGUGCUAAUACCGCAUACGUCCUGAGGGGGAAAGCGGGGGAUCGCAAGACCUCGCGCGAUUGGAGUGGCCGAUGUCAGAUUAGCUAGUUGGUGGGGUAAAGGCCUACCAAGGCGACGAUCUGUAGCUGGUCUGAGAGGAUGAUCAGCCACACUGGGACUGAGACACGGCCCAGACUCCUACGGGAGGCAGCAGUGGGGAAUUUUGGACAAUGGGGGCAACCCUGAUCCAGCCAUUCCGCGUGAGUGAAGAAGGCCUUCGGGUUGUAAAGCUCUUUCGGCAGGAACGAAACGGUGGGCUCUAACAUAGUCCGCUAAUGACGGUACCUGAAGAAGAAGCACCGGCUAGCUACGUG